rnacentral:rRNA from 1 species
GAUGAACGCUGACAGAAUGCUUAACACAUGCAAGUCUACCAAGAAUCACUUCGGUGAGGAAUGGUGGCGGACGGGUGAGUAACGCGUAAAUAAUCUGCCCUUUAGACUGGGAUAUCCUUUGGAAACGAAGGUUAAUACCGGAUAUUAUGAGAUGGACGCAUGUUCAACUUAUGAAAGCUAAAUGCACCAGAGGAGGAGUUUGCGUCCCAUUAGCUAGUUGGUGAGGUAAAGGCUCACCAAGGCCACGAUGGGUAGCCGGCCUGAGAGGGUGAACGGCCACAAGGGAACUGAGACACGGUCCUUACUCCUACGGGAGGCAGCAGUGGGGAAUAUUGGACAGUGGACCAAAAGUCUGAUCCAGCAAUUCUGUGUGCACGAUGAAGGUCUUCGGAUUGUAAAGUGCUUUCAGUAGGGAAGAAAAAAAUGACGGUACCUACAGAAGAAGCGACGGCUAAAUAUGUGCCAGCCGCCGCCGUAACAC